UACGAAGGGGGCUAGCGUUGUUCGGAAUUACUGGGCGUAAAGCGUGCGCAGGCGGCUUCUCAAGUCAGGGGUGAAAGCCCAGAGCUCAACUCUGGAAUUGCCUUUGAGACUGAGUGGCUUGAGUACGAGAGAGGUGAGUGGAAUUCCCAGUGUAGAGGUGAAAUUCGUAGAUAUUGGGAAGAACACCGGUGGCGAAGGCGGCUCACUGGCUCGUAACUGACGCUCAUGCACGACAGCGUGGGGGAGCAAACAGG
rnacentral:rRNA from 1 species